rnacentral:lncRNA from 1 species
AAAAAGAAAGGACGCUCGCUGUCAGACAUAAAGGAAGAAGUGGAUUUUUCAAUCGACGAAGACAAAAUUUUGGUGCUUUUAUUUCUUGGCUAGUAUGCUCCCGCAAAAAACCAGUGUCGUAAAGAUAAGGUCAAUACUCCGAAUAAAGCAAAGGCAAAAUAUAAGAAAUCAAAAGAAUGACUGCUCGCGGGUUGGUGAAGGAAACGCUGUAUAUAACGUCGCUGCCUUCACAGAAGUCUUUCAAGGGUUGAAGUUUAUGAUGGCGUGGAAAGGUUAUUCUUCGUGCCUUGCUACUUCUGAGUGUGUGUAUCUCAAUUUCUGGAAGUACCGUCAAGAAAGACUCUACAAAAAAGCUAUUUGAAGAAGAAGAACAAUACUUUUGCUACCAGUAUGCCCGUCAGGCUGUUGGUAUUGACGGAAGACUUUAUGUGAAAAUACAAAACUUCAAUUCGACCUUGCCACCAUUGUGCGAUAGCGCACAGCGCAUGGAGAAAAAAGACGACACACAUUACAUUUUUGAAUUAGCUGCGGUUGUUCCAGUACCCAACAUGACAAUAAUAGUGAAGUUCAACACGUCACUCAAUCUUUCAAAAACUGGAAACCACAGCGACUACAACGCUAUGACGUAUCAGUAUACAACGUUUGAGCUACCAAAGCUCAGAAAACUUAUGUACCUUUCUCCACAAAAUAACUGUAUGAUAUUCGUCGACGACCGAAAUUCGACUGAUGAUGCACGAUGCCAGCUACUUCAGCCAGCACAAUUCGCAAAUGAUACCAUUCCUGAGGACUGCGACAUGGUCUACCGAAAUAACUGUCCUGGAAAAUUAAACCUAACUGUGUACAAGCCUUGGUGUCAAAGCCUACCUGAAAUAUCAGUGCAAGAGUUAGCGAAAAGAAUGACUACUACACCUGCUCCUGGCGAAUGCUGAUUCAAGUGAUACAUAGAGCACGGAGUUGAGCGUCACUCUAAACUGAAUAUCAAUAUAGCAACAAUAAAGAUUUGUAAUGGGUGUAUCAUUCCUUUAUAUGCA